GAAACUAUAGUCAAUUUAUGAUAUGUAAUUUGCACUUACAAGUAGUUUUUAUACUAGUUUCG
rnacentral:tRNA from 2 species